rnacentral:misc_RNA from 1 species
GAUGAAGAACGUAGCGAAAUGCGAUAAGUAAUGUGAAUUGCAGAAUUCAGUGAAUCAUCGAAUCUUUGAACGCACAUUGCGCCCGCCAGCAUUCUGGCGGGCAUGCCUGUUCGAGCGUCAUUUCAACCCUCGAGCCCCCCCGGGGGCCUCGGUGUUGGGGGACGGCACACCAGCCGCCCCCGAAAUGCAGUGGCGACCCCGCCGCAGCCUCCCCUGCGUAGUAGCAAACACCUCGCACCGGAGCGCGGAGGCGGUCACGCCGUAAAACGCCCAACUUUCUUAAAGUUGACCUCGGAUCAGGUAGGAAUACCCGCUGAACUUAAGCAUAUCAAUAAGCGGAGGA